rnacentral:lncRNA from 1 species
AAAAAAGAAAGAAAAAACAAAAAAGAUAAUGGGCAAGUAAAGAGGUUUCAACUGUUGUUCUACAGGCUUCCUUGUAAAAGAUGAGAUGUCAAAACACAGGAAGAAAAUGUUUGACAAGACAUGAUAAAAUAAAAUGCCUUAAAAUAAAAGUUAAUAGGAAGGCAGAAAAGACCCAAACGCAUCUAUAGUAUCAGUUCCUCCAGAGGACAAGAAAAUCCAUCAUAAAAAAGGCCUCAUGGUGGAAGAAAAGCCCGGGAAACAAAGUCCCACCAAGACACCUCCUACUCCAUGAAGUCUUCCUGAACCAUAAAGCACAUCACAUCAGAUGCACACGAUGCCAAGCUGUACCACUUCUAGCGAUGAUGCUACAGUUUCAUCAUUCAGUAAAGUGAUCUGAGACUACGUUUUCAACCCUGUACAGGACCAGCUGAAUAUUAGGACUCAUGAGUGAGGACAAAGUUGAUGGGAGUCAGGCAUGCCUAGACCUCACCAGCAGAGGUCAGAAGAAGACAAGAAGUACAAAAAGAAACGUGUCUUUUUACAGAACACCCUGACAUUGGAAAGUCUAUCAGUCAUGUAUCUUGAAUAAGAUUUCAUACUACAUUAAAUUAAGAUUUUUUUGAUAUAAAUAGGUUCCAAUAUCCUAUACACCAUGCAAAAGAUUGCACUACAUGAAGGGAUAGCUGAAUCUAUGAAAAUUCAUAGUUUUACAUAUCUAUUCUUCCUUAUUAAAAUCAUCAAUAAACUCAAAGAAACAAUAUAAUCCAUUAUUAAUACAGUUCUCUACAGAGUAAAUAUAAUGUUUGUUUAUGUGCUUAAGUGCCUGUUUGGGGGAAACCAAAGCACUUAGUAAACACCAAUACUAAUCCUCUUAGGAAGGACUGUAUACCACUCUCCCUAUUUUAAACAGAGAACUGCCUUAUGUAAAAUAAUACAUUGGCAAAGCUGGAAGGAAAGCUGUGAUUACCCGACUAUGCACUAGUGUACAAGUCUUCCCCAAUGGAAAUAAGAGCAUGCUUCAAGUGUAUGCUCUAUAAAGACUGCAGACCAGCAAGGCUAUCAUUUCUAGACUUUAUUCCAUUUUAAAAAUGUAAACUUUUUUUAAUUCAUUUCCUGGAAAUGGUAAAACUUGGCUACUAGGACUAGGCAGUCACCACAGAACACAAGAACUUAACUCAAACCUGAAGAACUUGGGGGAAAUCCUGAUAAACUAAGAGGCUUCCAGCCUUAGGCUGUUUUGCAUGUGGCUAAGUUCUCAUUCCACUUUAAAGAAACCAAAACUGUAAAAGGCAAGUCAUGCAAUAUGAGUGCAGUUUCCGUAAAAAAGGCCUUAGGGAAACCCAAUCAACAGCCUCUGAAUCCUGUCCCCACCCCCAAAUAAAAGACAAGUGAAUAUAAAGUUAUAUCUUAUUUUAAAAUAAAUUACUAAGGUACGCAUAGAUCAUUUUUUAGUGAUUCCCCAUUAAAUUAAACUUUCUGGAGAAAACAAUCAAUUAAUUAUAAGCCUAACUGCAUUAAGAGGUCAUUUACUAUAUAGGCACAUCUCUUAAAAAACUAAUAAAAAAUUUUGAAAAACAAUAUUCCUCAAGCAUGCAUCCUCCUGUGUCUGAUAUUUCUUCUUUUCUUCACCUCCCCAUUUAUUGAAUCAUUUAAAUCACCGGUCUGAAGACUUUCAAACUUUCUGGAUCAGGAAAUUACAAAAGGGGGAGGGGAAUGUUGGAGAGAGAAGUCAAUACUGGACUGCCAGAUUUUUAUUUUGCCAAAUGUGGAUAUCUUUUGUUAAAGAUAUCUUCCAACUCUUUCUGAUUUCUCAAAUAAAAGACACUGUAACACUUGAAGGGACAAUCUCUGCCAGUCUUUAUGUCAAUAUAUUUAGUUUUACAAAGAAUCCAUUACAUUAAUUCAGCCCAAAAGAGAGAUCAUAGUCAGAGUGUGAGAACAAAUCCUUACAUUCCCAUUCAAGGUGGACUGCCACAAACUUCACAGGGGCAUUUACCAACUUCUCACUAUUACUCAUUAUUUCCUUCUCAGUCAUUCCUCAGCUAC